GAUGAACGCUGGCGGCGUGCCUAAUACAUGCAAGUCGCGCGAACAGACGAGGAGCUUGCUCCUCUGACGUUAGCGGCGGACGGGUGAGUAACACGUGGAUAACCUACCUAUAAGACUGGGAUAACUUCGGGAAACCGGAGCUAAUACCGGAUAAUAUAUUGAACCGCAUGGUUCAAUAGUGAAAGACGGUUUUGCUGUCACUUAUAGAUGGAUCCGCGCCGCAUUAGCUAGUUGGUAAGGUAACGGCUUACCAAGGCGACGAUGCGUAGCCGACCUGAGAGGGUGAUCGGCCACACUGGAACUGAGACGCGGUCCAGACUCCUACGGGAGGCAGCAGUAGGGAAUCUUCCGCAAGGGGCGAAAGCCUGACGGAGCAACGCCGCGUGAGUAAUGAAGGUCUUCGGAUCGUAAAACUCUGUUAUUAGGGAAGAACAAAUGUGUAAGUAACUAUGCACGUCUUGACGGUACUUAAUCAGAAAGCCACGGCUAGCUACAUG
rnacentral:rRNA from 1 species